GCUGGGAAAGACUAAGGUUUCCAGGGGAAGGCUCGUCCGCCCUGGGUUAGUCGGGACCUAAGGAGAGACCGAAAGGUGUAUCCGAUGGACAACAGGUUGAUAUUCCUGUACUAGAGUAUGUAGUGAAGGAGGGACGCAGUAGUCUAACUAAAGCGUGCGACUGGAAGUGCACGUCUAAGCAGUGAGGUGUGAAUUGAGUUAAAUGCUUAAUUCUAUAACAUUGAGCUGUGAUGGGGAGCGAAGUUUAGUAGCGAAGUUAGUGAUGUCACACUGCCAAGAAAAGCUUCUAGCGUUAAUUAUACUCUACCCGUACCGCAAACCGACACAGGUAGUCGAGGCGAGUAGCCUCAGGUGAGCGAGAGAACUCUCGUUAAGGAACUCGGCAAAAUGGCCCCGUAACUUCGGGAGAAGGGGCGCUGACUGAUAGUCAGCCGCAGUGAAUAGGCCCAAGCAACUGUUUAUCAAAAACACAGCUCUCUGCUAAAUCGUAAGAUGAUGUAUAGGGGGUGACGCCUGCCCGGUGCUGGAAGGUUAAGAGGAGUGCUUAGCGUAAGCGAAGGUAUGAAUUGAAGCCCCAGUAAACGGCGGCCGUAACUAUAACGGUCCUAAGGUAGCGAAAUUCCUUGUCGGGUAAGUUCCGACCCGCACGAAAGGCGUAAUGAUUUGGGCACUGUCUCAACGAGAGACUCGGUGAAAUUUUAGUACCUGUGAAGAUGCAGGUUACCCGCGACAGGACGGAAAGACCCCAUGGAGCUUUACUGCAGUUUGAUAUUGAGUAUCUGUACCACAUGUACAGGAUAGGUAGGAGCCUAGGACCUCGGGACGCCAGUUUCGAGUGAGGCGUUGUUGGGAUACUACCCUUGUGUUAUGGCUACUCUAACCCAGAUAGGUUAUCCCUAUCGGAGACAGUGUCUGACGGGCAGUUUGACUGGGGCGGUCGCCUCCUAAAAGGUAACGGAGGCGCCCAAAGGUUCCCUCAGAAUGGUUGGAAAUCAUUCGCAGAGUGUAAAGGUAUAAGGGAGCUUGACUGCGAGAGCUACAACUCGAGCAGGGACGAAAGUCGGGCUUAGUGAUCCGGUGGUUCCGCAUGGAAGGGCCUCCCAGC
rnacentral:rRNA from 1 species